UUUGCGGUGUGUCAGAUGGAUUGCAAGACAACAGCCAAGCAAAACUGGAUGAGCAUAUAAAGAUAUGAUACAUCGAAAUAAAAAAAAUCAGAUAAACUGAACUGGGGUGACCUGUGGAAUUGCUUUUAAAGUACUCUAAUAUAUCAUUAAGACUUGGUGAUAUCUAUCUUCAUUUCUGUCUGUUUUUUUUUUAAUGAGUUCACAAGGACUCGGCCAAAAGAAAUAGUUUGAAAUACAAAAAUGUUAAUAUGCAACAUUAGCCUCAGUGACUGACUUUAAGUUAAGUUUAGCGUGGACUUAUUUCCCCUCAGUAUUUUGUUUGACACAACUGAAAAAUCCAAUUGAAUUGAAAUGCAUCACACGUGACAAAAAUCUCUUAUCUGAUUGGUCACUGAGAAUGUAAACAGGAAGUAUGUUUGCUCUAAGGACCGACGGGUGAAAUUAAUUAAUGAAAAUAACACGGAGCAAAGUAACACAAAUAAUUAUGAUUCUAAUCAUUGUAAUUCACGAAUAUAUGGAUACUAUAUCGAAUAAACGACUCUUUUAAGAGGAUGGAAUCUCCUGUAUGCGGUAAAUCGAAGAGGUCCGAUGCUAACCGCUAAAGUGACGACUAUUUUGCUGAGAGGAGAUGUUGCUGUGCGUGGCGUAGUAUGACACGGUGAUGGGCAGCAAGUGGCGGACGUCCGGGGCGGGCUGCGACGACAGAUUGAGCUCCACCGAGUCCCUCACGACCCAGAAGGGCUCCUCGGGCAUCUGGUGCUCAUAGAAGAUCACUCCUGACUCCAGCUGAGGGAUGAGGACAGAGACGGCCCCAUGCAGGUUUUCUGCUGCACGGCUGCUUGUCUCGACUCCUCACCUGGAAACACCAUCAGCUCCUCUUGCGUUACCAUGGAGAUGGUGAGGGGCCUGGCCGUGACCACGAACCUGUAGAGAGGAGACGUGUGCUGGCCGUCCGUCACCGUGAAGCUGAAGCCGCCGGACUCCUCGCCUGCAGACAAACACAUUUUUAACCACGUGACUCGCCCACGCACGCAAGCGUCUCGACCCUCAUCCCCCCUCACCCUCGUGGAUGAAGAUGAUCUCCCCCUUGUCGAUUUGGGCCUGCGUGAAGUUGGCAAUGGCCUCCUCCGGGAACUCCUUGAACGCCGCCAUGCCGCCGGUGGUGGCCUCCAGGUUGUAGACCAACGCCUCCGUGGGGGUGUCGGCGUCCUCCGUGGUUAGCAUGCUGGACGUGAUGUCGGCCUCCUCGCCGGGGAGCACCUGGGAGCGAAGAUGACACGAUGGAUGCACGCAGCGGCCACAACAUUAGCUCAUGUCUCCCCGGGCGAGAAACACUUUGAUGGAAGCAGUGAGAGAACGCAGCACGCCGAGACAACACGCCGGCGUUGACCUGGUUUCCAACCCGGGCUGAAAAUGGCGGCGUUCCUCAGAAAAAAGGAAACCACAGCUCACCAGUUCCUGCAGCACUCGUGCAGACCAGACAGUGACACUACCAGUGCCAAGGCAACAGACUUUCAGAAUGUCAAAGUACUUUGUUGGAAUUCAUCUUGUCCCAUAAUGAACUGCUGCUCCCCAGUGCCGGCAGCAC